UUGUCGAUUUAGUCCAAAAAGGCGUGUACGAUGGGUUGGCAUUCCAUCGAGUAGUGCGCGAUCCGCAACCGUUUGUUGUUCAAGGUGGCGAUCCCCAAG
rnacentral:tRNA from 1 species